rnacentral:rRNA from 1 species
GCCUAACACAUGCAAGUCGAACGGAGAUAUUAUUGAAGCUUGCGAUAUAAUAUCUUAGUGGCGGACGGGUGAGUAACGCGUGGGUAAUCUGCCCAUAAGUGGGGAACAACAGUUGGAAACGACUGCUAAUACCGCAUACCUUGAGCAAUCAAGAAAGGUGGCCUCUGAAUAUGCUGCCGCUUAUGGAUGAGCCCGCGUCUGAUUAGCUAGUUGGUGGGGUAAGGGCCUACCAAGGCUGCGAUCAGUAGCCGGCCUGAGAGGGUGAACGGCCACACUGGGACUGAGACACGGCCCAGACUCCUACGGGAGGCAGCAGUGGGGAAUAUUGCGCAAUGGGGGAAACCCUGACGCAGCGACGCCGCGUGAGCGAAGAAGGCCUUAGGGUUGUAAAGCUCUGUUUUAAGGGACGAAUGUCGUGGGGAGUAAUAUGCUCUGCGAAUGACGGUACCUUAAGAGGAAGCCCCGGCUAACUACGUGCCAGCAGCCGCGGUAAGACGUAGGGGGCGAGCGUUGUCCGGAAUUACUGGGCGUAAAGAGCACGUAGGCGGGAACUUAAGUCAGGUGUGAAAGACCGGGGCUCAACUCCGGGGUUGCACUUGAAACUGGGUUUCUUGAGGGCAGGAGAGGAAAGCAGAAUUCCUGGUGUAGCGGUGAAAUGCGUAGAAAUCAGGAGGAAUACCAGUGGCGAAGGCGGCUUUCUGGACUGACCCUGACGCUGAG